AAACAUUAGCUGACCGGUUUCUACUCUGAAGCGUGUGGGGGGGGCGGGAAGCCAUGUGAUCUCUGAAAGACGUAGACUAAUGGCACCGAGACCCAGUUCCGUGUUCUGUCCGUCCGCAAGCACUAGGCGUCCGACGUCCGGGUGACCGUGGAGAAAUCCAUCCAUGCAUUUUCUGUCUCCGGAAGCACCAGAGGUGGCCAAGGCAAGCCAGGGCGCUGGCUGGGCUGGAGGCCCUGGUGCUCUUCCCGUGGCUGUGGGACCUGGCCAAGGCUGCUGUUGCUUCAUCAACUGAGAAUCCCACGUAACUGGAUAAGGCUGGCGACCGACAUGUGGCAAGUCACCCACAUCGAACACAGAAGAAUAACCAACGAGCCGUCCUUCCCCUGUUGGAGACUCUGUGCUGUAUGCACCAAGCAUCACGCUCAAGACGUUACGUAUGUGACCUCACUCUGCCCUCCAGUGCGCUCAGGGUGGGUAUUCUGGGCCACACUGCUGAUGAGGACACCCGGUCUCCAGAAGACAGGCCUCUCGGUGACCUGUGGCAGAGCCAGGAUUUCAACCCAGAACUGCCUGCUCACAGAGUCUCUGAAGUACUCUUUUUCUCAUUCAUGCACCAAACAUUUAUUAAGCACCUACUGUGUACAAACCAGCCUUUUGGAUACUGGCUUACAUCGUCAAAGACGCAAGCAAGCCUCCAUCCUUCUAUUAGGCUCUAGGAUGACCAUAAUAGAUGACCACAAGUUUGGUGGCUUUCCAGAAAUUGAGUGUUCUCGCCGUUCUGGAGUCCGGGAGCUUGACAGCGAGGUGUCACCCCCAAUUUUGCAGCCACAUGCCACGGCACAAGGCUGGGUGGCACUGAUUACCCUUUGACCCACCUGUCACUGCAGCUCCCGAAGUAUUGUGUGAGGAGGAUGCAGCCCGCCCUUGGACCUUUGGCUCCUCGCUGGACGGAGGGAUGCCUGGGUGACUCAGUGGGUUAAAGCCUCUGCCUUCGGCUCGGGUCAUGAUCUCAGGGUCCUGGGAUCGAGCCCCACAUCGGGCUCUCUGCUCAGCGGGGAGCCUGCUUCCCCCCCUCUCUCUGCCUGCCUCUCUGCCUACUUGUGAUCUCUGUCAAAUAAAUAAAAUC